rnacentral:ncRNA from 3 species
UACGGAGGAUCCAAGCGUUAUCCGGAUUUAUUGGGUUUAAAGGGUGCGUAGGCGGCCUAUUAAGUCAGGGGUGAAAGACGGUAGCUUAACUAUCGCAGUGCCUUUGAUACUGAUGGGCUUGAAUGUACUUGAGGUAGGCGGAAUGUGACAAGUAGCGGUGAAAUGCAUAGAUAUGUCACAGAACACCAAUUGCGAAGGCAGCUUACUAAAGUAUGAUUGACGCUGAGGCACGAAAGCGUGGGGAUCAAACAGG